CCUACGGGAGGCAGCAGUGGGGGAUAUUGCACAAUGGGGGAAACCCUGAUGCAGCGACGCCGCGUGGGUGAAGAAGUAUUUCGGUAUGUAAAGCCCUAUCAGCAGGGAAGAAAGAAGACGGUACCUGACUAAGAAGCCCCGGCUAACUACGUGCCAGCAGCCGCGGUAAUACGUAGGGGGCGAGCGUUAUCCGGAUUCACUGGGUGUAAAGGGAGCGUAGACGGCCGUGCAAGCCAGGAGUGAAAGCCCGGGGCCCAACCCCGGGACUGCUCUUGGAACUGUGCGGCUGGAGUGCGGGAGGGGCAGGCGGAAUUCCUGGUGUAGCGGUGAAAUGCGUAGAUAUCAGGAGGAACACCGGCGGCGAUGGCGGCCUGCUGGACCGCGACUGACGUUGAGGCUCGAAAGCGUGGGGAGCGAACAGGAUUAGAUACCCCAGUAGUC
rnacentral:rRNA from 1 species